AAUGGCUCAUUAUAUAAGUUAUCGUUUAUUUGAUAGUGCCUUACUACUUGGAUAACCGUGGUAAUUCUAGAGCUAAUACAUGCUGAAAAUCCCGACUUCGGAAGGGAUGUGUUUAUUAGAUUAAAAACCAAUGCCCUCUGGGCUCCUUGGUGAUUCAUGAUAACUGUUCGAAUCGCAUGGCCUUGCGCCGGCGAUGGUUCAUUCAAAUUUCUUCCCUAUCAACUUUCGAUGUUUGGGUAUUGGCCAAACAUGGUCGCAACGGGUAACGGAGGGUUAGGGCUCGACCCCGGAGAAGGAGCCUGAGAAACGGCUACUACAUCCAAGGAAGGCAGCAGGCGCGCAAAUUACCCAAUCCCGAUCCGGGGAGGUAGUGACAAUAAAUACUGAUACAGGGCUCUUUUGGGUCUUGUAAUUGGAAUGAGUACAAUUUAAAUCCCUUAACGAGGAACAAUUGGAGGGCAAGUCUGGUGCCAGCAGCCGCGGUAAUUCCAGCUCCAAUAGCGUAUAUUAAAGUUGUUGUGGUUAAAAAGCUCGUAGUUGAACCUUGGGCCUGGCUGGCCGGUCCGCCUCACCGCGUGCACUGGUCCGGCCGGGCCUUUCCCUCUGCGGAACCCCAUGCCCUUCACUGGGUGUGGCGGGGAAGCAGGACUUUUACUUUGAAAAAAUUAGAGUGCUUCAGGCAGGCCUAUGCUCGAAUACAUUAGCAUGGAAUAAUGAAAUAGGACGCGCGGUUCUAUUUUGUUGGUUUCUGGGACCGCCGUAAUGGUUAAUAGGGACAGUCGGGGGCAUCAGUAUUCAAUCGUUAGAGGUGAAAUUCUUGGAUCGAUUGAAGACUAACUACUGCGAAAGCAUUUGCCAAGGAUGUUUUCAUUAAUCAGGAACGAAAGUUAGGGGAUCGAAGACGAUCAGAUACCGUCGUAGUCUUAACCAUAAACUAUGCCGACUAGGGAUCGGACGACGUUAAUUUUUGACGCGUUCGGCACCUUACGAGAAAU
rnacentral:rRNA from 1 species